rnacentral:tRNA from 1 species
ACUCUAAUAGUUUAUAAAAACAUUGGUCUUGUAAACCAAAGACUGAAGACUUACCA